rnacentral:misc_RNA from 1 species
UUUAAACCCGUGGAUAUUUCAUUUGUUACCUAUUAUCCAAAUGAAAAACUGCUAUAACAAUCUAUAUCCUCAGGAUUUAAAAAAGAAACGAUUUGAACUAUCUUCAUGAAAUCAGAAACUAUCGCAAGUAUUGAAAUUCUAACUUCCUGUUUUAUGAUAAAUUUCCUCUAUGGCGCUUCAGUAAGAAUGGUUUCAUUAUUUUACGUGGAGUCUAUUCAUCGAUUUGAAAUUAAUCGAAAACAAGCAUCACUUCCAUAUGUUCUGCCUUUUGUAAUGAAACAUCUUUGUGGUCCCCUUCAAGGAUAUUUACAGCAACUUUUCCAAACGAAAUCUCUUAUUGUUUUCGCAAAUGUGGGGACAGUAAUCAGCAUUGGUGCUUGUUUCUUUGCAGAAGACGUUUUAACAAUAACAAUCUCAUGGGGUCUCAUA